UCUCCGUUGGUGAACCAGCGGAGGGAUCAUUACCGAGUUUACAACUCCCAAACCCCUGUGAACAUUCCUAUCGUUGCCUCGGCGGUGCUCGCUCCGGCCGCCCGCCAGAGGACCCUCAAACUCUUGUUUUAUACAGUAUCUUCUUAUUAACACUAUUAAAUAAAUCAAAACUUUCAACAACGGAUCUCUUGGUUCUG
rnacentral:misc_RNA from 1 species